UUUACCUACGGGAGGCAGCAGUCGGGAAUAUUGCGCAAUGGAGGAAACUCUGACGCAGUGACGCCGCGUGCAGGAAGAAGGUUUUCGGAUUGUAAACUGCUUUAGACAGGGAAGAAAGAAAUGACGGUACCUGUAGAAUAAGCUCCGGCUAACUACGUGCCAGCAGCCGCGGUAAUACGUAGGGGGCGAGCGUUAUCCGGAUUCAUUGGGCGUAAAGCGCGCGUAGGCGGCCUGUUAGGUCGGGGGUCAAAUACCGGGGCUCAACCCCGGUCCGCCCCCGAUACCGGCAGGCUUGAGUCUGGUAG
rnacentral:rRNA from 1 species